ACUACUCAUAUUUGUUUGAAUUCUCAAUACUAAAGAGACACAGAAAGAGUUGGGUUUUGCCUUUUCGGCCAAUAGUGAAAACUUUUACUUGAAUAAUGGACUCCACCUAUCCUUCCUGGUGGUUUGAGCACUACGUACCUAAUUUUUUUCACGUCAAAUUUUUUUUUUUCCCGACGGGUAGGUUUGAAUGUUUGCUGAAAGAUUGACAGAUAAUCCUACAAAUAAAUCACCCCAAAUCAAAAAACCCCACAUUCUCUUCCAAAUCCAGUUCAGAAUUUCAUCUCCAAUUUCCUUCUCCCUCACCGAAAUCCAUGUCUCUUACACCAUUGAUGUUUAGGACACUGCUGAGGCUGCUAACAUCCUUAAUCGGAGAUCCUGCUGCCUCAGUUUCGACUUUGCUCUAUUACAGCGAGUUGCUUCCGCAGAACAUCAUCCUCCAAAGAUUGGUUCGACACGAACUGCUCGAUGGAGAAAAUUACCUGUUCCAUUUCCUCAUCAACUUUUUGAGAUGUUUUUGGUAGGAACUAACAAAUUAUCAUUCUAUACUCUAAUCUAAGCUAAACUAUGAGGCGGAGAUUCAAACUUGGAUGCAGAUGGACGCACAAUACCAAGCAAGUUGUAUUUUUUUUUUUUUUUUCUUUCUGCAUUUUGGUAAACCAUUAUUUAUUGGUGACCGACUGGCGAGCGUUCGAGUUGUAAUAUGUGAGUUCAGAUCAUAGAAUGAGAUAUGUUUCACAGUUCUUUGA